AUUCGCAACAUACUCUUUAAGGACAUUUUAUUCUAUGUUUUUAAAAGUUAAGAAACUUUAAACGUCACAUAUCUUAGAGGUACUUUUCUUUAAAUUAAACUUCUAUAGAAAAGUUAACCUUAAAGAUGAACUACUUUUAGUCAUUUGGUGUCUUUAAAACAGAAGAGGCAUUCCAUUUCAUUCUGAGGUUGCAAUGACUCAUUGGAUUCAUUGUUGUGGACCUGUGUCCUAGAGGAAAGGGGGUUGACAUUUGAUGUGUGACAUUUUAAGUGAUUGGGGAAUUACUCCACUAUGUCUCUGCUAGUGACCCAUGUCAUGUGUGACUGUGAUCUUUUCAUUUCAUCUCAAACUUGGGUGGAAGAAGCCAAGAGCUGAUACUCUUUUUUUUUUUUUAAAUAGCUACAUUAAUAACUAUUAUGUUUGAUUAUUCUUUAAUUAAACUAGUUCUAACAUAUAAUUGGUACCUGGCAACAUUUGUGCUACUAUUAAAGCAACUUUCAACUGUAGAGACAAAGAACUUUUCAUAAAAAUGCAUUUGAAAUACAAUGUGUAAUUUAUCUUGCGGUAGCUGGUAAUAUUAAAAAAAAAGUUCUUUUAAUAUGACACUUAGCUUAAAUUAGUAAGACUUUUUUUUAUUGGGACGACCCUAGCUUCUUAUUAAUUUAUUACAAUCAUAGGUUUGUUUAAAAUUUAUCAGUUAUUUUUUGCCUGUCACUGCAAUUGUGUUAUGUACAAACAGUAUUGCCAGUUUCUCAUUCGUUUUGCGAUGCACAAUAGAUAUGUUUAGAGAGUAUACAACUUUUCUUUCAUUUGAAAACAAAACAUUGGGUGUAACGUGAGUGAUGUUUGCCAUUCACUUUAUUUUUAGCUACAGAAAAUACAAUUAUCUAGAUUCUGGAAGCUGAAUGGGACUAGGUCAUUGUUUGUAUUGAAAAAAUGUGAUAUUUAUAGAUCCUGGAAGCCAAGUCCAUUCCAAAAUAAAAAUGUUCGAUUGAGUAGUACGUGUGAUCUAGGUCUGAGAAAGGACCUUCGAUACAGCUUGAUAUAGUCGACUCAGUUUUGUUAAAGCUAUUUGAAGAUAAGAGACGGCUUCACUUGUAAACUUGUUCAAUACUGCGUGUUAAUGCCUCCUCCUGUACAUAUGCCUCCUUCUUCUAUACUAUACUAGCGAUGAACACAAUUAGUCCCUAUUUCUUUGAUCCUUUAAAAAUCCUCCACUGCACAGCUAAGAUCUGGCUAAUUAUCCUUCCAGACUGCUGGCAUGAAUAUCCUGGUACCAUUCUUUAUUAGGUUUAUGCGUGUUUUCCCCCCCCCCCCCCUUUCUCUUUUUUUCACUCACCUUUUCAUCUUUCUUACCAUUAUCUUUUUUUCCUGAUUUAUUAACACAUUCAGCACAGAAGAGAAUCCAUCCGUUAGUAAUUUUACUGUUGCAGUGUUCCCAUUCGAACUGGACGGGGAAAAAAAAUCUUAAAUGUUUAAUCAGCCGCUUAGUCUACUCUUCAGACGAAAUUGGUAUGGCCUCUGUUACCACGUACUUCCCCCCGCGUUCAUUACAGUGCCCCCACUCAUUGUUCACUGGUCUGUAGUUUAGAAAGGCCAAUUUAGCUAGUGAUGAUUGUGUUUGAAACAAAGGAAUGUGGAGGCGGGGGGGGGGGGGUGGCGCACAUUAUUUUAUUUGUAUUACAAUUUGACAAAGAACAAUAAAGCCAAAGAUUGUCUGGUAAUAGAAUGUAGCAAAGCCAAGUACUGAAGUGCUGGCAACGGUAAAGCUUACAAAAUAUAAACAUCGAGAUCAAUAUCUCAUUUCUCCAAACUUCUCUUGUCCACUUGUUUAUAUUUGCUCACUACCUAAAGCAUGCACACAAGUCUUUUUAAAACUACAUUCAACUUCACCUAUCCCUUAGUCUGUUGAACCGCUGGUGCACCUCACACGAUAUGCUGACCGUCUUUCUCCAUUUCACUCUGCCUUGGAUAGAAUUUUUUUUCAAUGGCAGGCCCGUUCAUUCUUUUAUGUUGUCUUCCCAUUUUUCCUGAUACUGUUCCCUGAAGAUACUAUUAUUACGAAUAGUAGAAAAAAAAAAGACUUUAGAGACAUGUAUUUCAUUGUAUAUUUGAACUCUAUUUUUUUUUUAAAUUGAAAUUGUGUGACUACUUUCUCCCUUCAGUAGCCGACAUUGUUUAUGUCCAUGUAAACACGUCUUCACAUACUUUGUUUUAGUUUAGCUUGCGAAGAUGAGCCAUGAUACAUCGCGCCAUGAACGUGAGUAGAAAUAAGCGAAGAUUGUAUGCUUAGCAUGCACUCACUCUGAGGUUGGGCCGGGCUCUACGCGGCGGCUUCCUGUCGGACGGGCGAAUGUAAUCUUCGUGGCGCCAUCGAAAUUCGUUGUCUUAGUCAAUACCGAAGUAACAGAAAUGCACGUUCGUGUAUAAUAGGUCUGACGAAUGACGUUGGCGCUAACAUCUGAGCAUUCCCCUAUCAGUGAUCUUGCAUAGCUUGCGGACCGAUAGAUCGUUGGUUUUAUCCGCGCUAGAGACAUCGAUGAAUUCUUAUUGAUUAUUCUUUUGAACUGUUACAUUCUUUCGUUACUAAUGACCAACAUAUUUCCGUCCACCCACAGUGAAUUCGUGUGAUAUUUUAACUAUCGAGAGCGCUUGCCAUUUCUUUAUUGAUCAAUACACUUAGUGCAUCAUUCAUUAAGUUGAACAUUGGACAAAGGGGAACGAAGACAAAGAAACACAAAGUCCAUACACUAUGCGUCGUCAAAGAAAAGUUAUAGUUUUGUUGAAUUAGGUUCUGAUUCGGACAACGUGAUUCUCCAAACUACCCUUCGUUUUAAACAAUGGCUUCCAGGAGAAAUGAAGUAUUUUAAAAUGAUAACAGGUUUUGUCGAUUUUGAAACCAAUGAUACGUAUUGUUAACAAAUUAAUUUGAAUGUUAAACUCCUUAAACUAUUAAAGAAGCCGCCCUACAUAACAGCGUGCAAGGUUUGGAUUUAAUCUAGCAUUAGGUUGGAUAAAAUAAAAUGCAUUUAUUAACAAGUAUUUUUUUUAAAAUUCGUUCACGUAAUGUGUCAACGAUCUGUUUGAUAAAACGCUUUUCAGUCUUGCUCGGAUGAGCUUGAGGUCUUAAUCUUGCUUUAUACCUUAGUAACAACACAAUCUUAUUGGCUUCCCCGGCUGUAAACUCUGUAUUUAGGCCACGUGAAAUGUGGACAGGCUGCCGCACGUAUAGAUGUAAUAUUGGUUUUGUGAGGGCUCCAACGAAACUGUAGCCGAUCAACAGAUCACAACAAUUGCAUAUUGAAAAUUGAAGUAGAAUAACAUUACUGAAAAAAAAAAGGUUUUAUUUUUAUGUGCGUUAAUUGUGUGUUCAUAUUGGUCCCUUUAUCACACACACACACUCACUAGCACACGUGUGCUAAGGCUAUUUGGAAUAUUCCAUAUAUGCUUAUAGCUUAGCUGCAAAAAUCUGACUCGGGCUAGGAUAGUAAUAUAACAAUAUACUCUAUAUACCAGCCUAUGGGGUAGUGGCAACUGACCUUCCUUGAAGGCCCUGAACACACCUAUGAGGAUUCACGAUGCUGUCAGAGGGCUGUAUUGCUACAGACCUGCCACAGCAUGAGUCAGAUCAUAAGUUGACACUCUUAAGGGGACUACUGUGAAUUUUUAACUCUAGAAGCAGCCAUAGGCUGUCCUCGAACUGCACGUUAACAAUAGCUUCAACUAGGACAAGUAAAAUCAAGUUUAUGCCCUACCUCGGGAUAGCGUAACUAUUUGACCAACACAACGUGACACACUUUAUUUAUUGUUGCCCCUAUAAUAUUACACUUAGCAUUUUUAAUGCUGAAUUCCACGCAAGACGCUGUAAGUGCCAUGACAACUAGGCAUGUUUUAAAUAAAUCAAUGGCUCUGAUUCUUUACAAAUAACGAUUCCUAGUUUAGGAAAAAAAAAUCCUGAUGUAGGAUGUUGGCAUGAAUAUUUAAUGCGUGUGUUUUUAAGACGUUAGAUAAUUAGUAUUGAAUAAUUCAAAAGCAAAGAGUUGGUUGUUUUUUGAUGUGAUAUGUCAAAUGAUUUGUUCAUCAACUCUAAAAGUUCCAGUGAUAUUGUAAAUAAGAUGCUGUCAUAAGUACCGAUUUUUUUUCUUCUUACUUCUUUAGUAUUGACGUCAUGACAUUUUUAUUGUGUUGUGCAAUCUUUCUUCCCUUGUCCUUUAGGAAACUUUGUUGAUAUCAUAAACCACUUUGCUGUUUUAACUGUUUAAAAGGAGGACCAGUUUAUGGGACUAUUCGUUAAAUCUGUCCCGAAGACUGAAAGGGAGGGAGUUGAAAGCCUGUUAAGUGUUUAACAGGUGCUGAAAAUACCCACCUCUCUUCGAUUUUACACAGGUGCUAAACUGAUUGUCACGUUUUUUUUUGUUUUUUUUUGUUUAAGCCAGCUUUGCCAUUAUUAAUAUUAUCAUAGUUAAACAAAAUAUCAUUCUACUUUUGACACUUCAAUCUCGACUGGAACAUUAAUCACGUAUCAAUUGUUUUAAUCCCUGAAAAAGUGGGCAGAGUUCUCCUGCCCAGCCAAUUCACCUUUCCUUCAGGGGAGUAUCUCGGGGCCAGUUACUCAUUAUACAAGGAACGAGUCGAUUUUCUAGUAGAGAUUCUCUGAUACGGGCGAAUAAUAAUAAUAGUAAUAAUAAUCUUUAUUGUCCGUAAGGAAAUUUGUCGUACUAUUUGUGCAUUACACCAAACAAAACAUUAUAAUAUGAUUAUAACUAUAAAAAAGCAAAAUGUACAUUCACACCAGACUCACUCAUAAUUUACAUGUGAAAAGUUUAUUUCAGAUUGUUUAUAUUUAAUGAUUUGAUCGCCAGGGGAUAUAUAUAUAUAUAUCAAACUUUUUUUUUUGGGUGUUUUCUGUGUACAGAAGAAGGGAGUAUUGAUAAGCGGGCUAUUUUCAUACAUUCGUGUUCACUUUUCAGCACUGUAGAAUCAAAAGUCUAAGCGCAUUCACCUGUGAAUGUCAUCUUUAUUUUUUUAGUUGGCAACAAUGGUCUUUCAAUAUGGCGUCAUUAACAUUGUUUACAUUUUAUAUUUAUUUGAAAAUCUUUACUUCUUUUCAUUUUCGUGUUUACUCAUGAGACUCCACUACAUUGCAAUCACAUUUCUCAUAUCGCCUUUUCUUCUUUUUCUCACUUUUGGUAGCCUAAAGACCGUAAACAACAUCUUACAAAUGAAAGUGUAAACAAAGAGCAAAUGGCUGGGAUGAACUUUGAGCGGGAAAAUUAUUCCACAAGAGUUUUGAAUUGUUUCUGUUAGGUGUUGAUAGUUUAGACUUUAGACCAAUAGCUCGUUACCACGUUGUACAGACCUGUCUUAACUGCCCACAGGUUGUGACGUUGCAGGUCAGUGUUCGGGCCUUCAAUAAACGGUUGGUCUCGGUUGAUCACGUUGGGGAUAAACUUGUAUGUGUUUUUAAAAAAAAAGAGUUUGUAACGUCACUUUGUUUAAAAAAAAAAAGUCUUCAGCGUAUGACGAAUAAGUGUCAUUUAAUGAUAGCAGUUGCUGAUGAUGGCGCGUAAUGGUUAAUCCACGUGUAAGCUUAAAAAUCCAUCUUUUAAUGGUAAAAUUCAUUGUACCAUGUUGCAUGCUAUUUGAUGUCAAUCGUUGCCUAGGUUACACCGCGCUGGCUUUCAUCUCAAUGUUGCUGCUACAUCGUAAAUCAAGGCUUGCCUUCAAGCGCUUUUCUUUGAUACGAAAGAUUUAUUGGUCACCCCUUUGCUUCUGACCAAACUAUUUAGUCUUGUCCCAUUUACUGGUUGCCAUCCCAUUGUGUUGAUAUUAGGUCACUAAUCAAUACUGUCUCAUGUAUAUUAACGAGGAGCAUCAAUACUGCUCGUGGUAAUGAACAUUGAUUGUGUUCUUGUUUCUUGCAUGCAUUUCAACGACGUUAUGAAAACAUAAACACAAUUCAAGUUAAAACCUUCGAAUGUUGAGGUUACGUUGUAAGAUGCACUGAUGAUGGGAGUUUUUCAUUAGAACAGACAGUAGAUCAACACUAGGGUGUCUGACUAAACACUGACACAGAACUGGUUCGUCGAGGUAUAAAGGGAUUGUUGCUUUUGGUUAUUUUCUUGCAUGCUUGCGAAGGGCUCUAUCUUCGUUUUGUUCAUGAAAUGUUAUGUUUAGGGCAGAUAACCCAUCUGCUUACAUUAUUAUCAUUGUAACUCUCGAUGCUGAGAUCAAUGAAAUUAUGUUGGUAAAAAAACAACAGUAAUGAUUCCAUUAUUAUACGAGCAUAUUGAUUGGAAGAGUUAAUAAAUUACAUCAGGAUUUCAAUCUAGCUUGCUUGUUUUUUUUUUUUUCAUUUUAUGCUUCUGUCGUGGAGUUUUAAACAUUCUGGCGGCAUGAACUUGAGUCACAAACCUUUAACAGCAGAGCGAUGUAUAAAGUUUUAAUUAAAUGGAUUUCACGGUCGAAAUAUCCAUUGUCCCCUCUGAUAAUUCCCUCCCUAAUAUAUUGCUAUGCACACUCAGGGCGUAAUUUCAGGUCAGUCUGUUCAGCCGAGACGGGUUUGACAAUCAUAAUGGCGCCAGUCUCAUUCUUGUGCUGUGUACAUUAAAGUUCCUUUUUCAGACCCUGCAAUCUCUAGGGCAGAUGAUAAGCUCAUCUGUUUCUAUGUAGGUACCGGUACUUUAAAAAAAAAAAAGGAAACUAAACAUCUUAAAGACGCAGGCUUUUACAAGACUGUAAUUUGCUGUCUAGUCAGUGAAUGCAUUAUGUCUGCAAUAGUCUGCAUCCUUCUAUCAUUGCCACCCACAGCUUUGUUUUGAAUGCACAGACUGGUUAAAGAAAAGGAGAGAAAAAUGUGUGGGUGUGUGUGUUAGGGGGCUCUAGUUGUCAUUUCAUUUUCUCCUCCAUUGUAAAUUUUGAUGCUGACAGCAAGUCCUCUCAGCAUUCUUAUACUUAUGUUUGUCUGUUUUAAAGUGUAGCUGAAUAGGUUGUGUUGUUGUUUUUUUUAAAACUAAAUCUCCAUCUAUGAACGAUGUGGAGAGAGAUUGGCUGUUGAUUGUAAAAUAAAAAAAAGAUGAACAAAAUGUAUACUUAGAAUGCAUCUUUUAUUUAAAAUCUAAUUCAUCGUUAAUGUAAAUGUCUUAUUUUCUUUCUUUUACAGUUUAUAAAAAAAAAUAAACUAAUAUAUAAACAAACGUUCUUUUUUUUUUCAUUUGUGUUUGCAUCGCAUCUUCAACCAUUCCAUUCCUUUUGUUUCCUUUGUUUUGCUGGCUUUUAUGGACUAUUACGAAAAUCUGACAUUAAAAACAAAAUAACUUUGGCAUUUCAUUAUUUGUAUGAGGUCACCUUCUUCAACAUUCACUUAGACUUCCAUUUUCAAUUUAUGUCUUGAAGUUUGUGUUUUGUUUCUCUCUCGUCAGAUUAUGAAUGUGACUGUGUUUUUGCGAGCUAUUGUGCGGCCUAUUAUAUCAAGCAAACAAAUUGAUUUUUUCCCCCUCCGUUUGUCGUGCCCUAUUGUGUGGGCACAAACUAUGAAGUGGUUUGUGAUGAAGUGGUUGCGUGUCUGCGAGGGCGCUUUUAAAUAGUUAAUUAAGGGAUAACAAUGAGCAUAAAUCUGGCUGUAAUCUUGGACCAAAUCUCUCUAAGGGUUAGACUUCUUGUUAGCGUCUCUUCGUCCCAGUUUGGCCCCGAAGUUCAAUUGUGCCUUUCCCUUCAGGGCUAGACGUUUGUCUCUCAACAUCCGGUCUUUACAAUUUCAAAUUCACUUUUUCUUUCUCUCUCUCUCUCUCUUACAUGUGUCUCUCAGACUCUCUUUAUCCUCCUCCUCUCUCUCUUUCUCUUUCUCUCUCUCUCUCUCUCUUUCUGUCUAUCUGGCUUUAUUUUUAACGAAACUGUGUGGGUUUAAAUGUUACAAAAAUGAAUGUAGCGAAAUGUGCCCCGCUGGCGGCAUAGUGAUCGUGUUGACAUGUCAUGUGCUUUUAGACUAAAUAACUUGCUUGUUUAGAUUCGAUGGCGUUUGUUAAUUUUCAUUGUCUUUUGCUGCUUCUGUAAAAAAAAAAAAAAGAA